GCGGGUGUAGUUCAAUGGUAGAACGGUAGCCUUCCAAGCUGCACACGCGGGUUCGAUUCCCGCUACCCGCUCCA
rnacentral:tRNA from 3 species